rnacentral:lncRNA from 10 species
CUAGCUGUUGCUGGGCACCAGAGCUACAAACUUACAUGGGGUUAUGAUCAGUGCAAGCUAAGUAAUGGGGCAGCACAAAACAGAAGUUUAUGAAAUGAGUAAGCUGAGGAAGAGGAGAGGAGAAAGAGAGGAAGAGCAAGAGAGAAAAGGGGAGAGGGUGAGACAAAGGAAGGAGGGAAGGGAAAAGCAGGGGGAGAGAAAUGGGUCCGGAGUGGGGGAAUGAAGAGUAAGUGUGUGCAGAGAAAGUGAAAGAGUUUAGUUGGUUAUAGUGCUCCCCGCCAAGGUAUGUUCACCCAGAACCUCGGAAUAAGACCUUAUUUGGUGCACACUUACUAAGAACCAGGAAGAAAAAAAAGAAAAUAACAAAUUUAAAAAGAAAAAGAAAAAAUACCUUAUUGGAGAAAAAGGUCUUGGCAGAUGUAAUUGAGUUAAAGAUCUAGAGAUGAGAUAAUCCUGGAUUUAGGGUGGGCCCUAAAUCCAAUGACUGGUGUCUUCAUAUGGGAAAGGACGGAGACAUGACACCCAGAGACACAGCGGCGGGGCCAUGUAAAGAUGGAGGCAGAGAUUGGAGUAAUGUGGCCACAAGCCAAGAAAUGCCAAGGAUUGCUGAAGCCACCGGAAGCUGGGGGAGGCAGGGGAUGGAGGCUGCUUUCUCAGAGCCUCCAGAAGGAACCAACCCAGCCAAUACCUUCAUUUUGGACUUCAGGCCUCCAGAACUGUGAGAAAACAAACUUCUGUUGUUUGAAGCCACCCAGUUUGUGGUGACUUGCUAUGGCAGCCCUAGGAAUCUAUUUCAUCCUAAGAGAGAGGGAAAGGACAAGAGGAGGAGGAGGGAGGGCAAGGGAAGAAAGCAAAAGUGAAAGCAGGAAGGAAGAGGAGAGAGAAAAUCGAAGCAGAGGCACAGAGAGAGGUGCAGUACCAAGUGCUGUACAGGCAUUGUCUUCGCGGAUGCACCUGCUGCGACCUCACAUUAAAAGGAGAAACGGACGCUGAUCAGGGAGGAAAAGACCCUGCCCGAGGACCCUGGAAGAUGAAUAAAAUGGGGUCAGGAGAAGCAGCCCCCUCUCCAAAGCCAUGCAGCUUCUAAGUCACAACAGCCACCCCAGGCUUCAGGCUCCAAGACCAGCACUCUUGCUCCUGCUCCACAGCCACCAAGAUCACCAGCUGCCAUGUUGGGAGGACACUCAGGCAGCCUGUGGAGGAACUCCCAUGGUGAGGAGUCUGCCAACAAUCAGAUGAGUGAACUUGGACAUGUAUCUUCCCAGGCCUGCCAACAUGUGAAUAGGCUGGGAAGCGGAUCUUUGACCCCUAUGUUGAGCCUUCAAAUGAAACCACAGCCCUGGUGAACAGCUUGUUGCAACCUUAUGAGAUACCUCAGAGCAGCAGUCCCCAACUUUUUGGCACCUGGGACCAGUUUCGUGGAAGGCAAUUUUCCCACAGACCGGGGUUGGGGGGUGGGGAUGGUUUUGGGAUGAAACUCUUCCACCUCAGGUCAUUAGCCAUUAGAGUCUCAUAAAGAACACACAACCUAGAUCCCUCUUCACGCUCCUAUGAGAAUCUAAUGCUGCUGCUGAUCUGGCAGGAGGCGAAGCUCAGGCAGUAAUGCUCACUCGCCCACCGCUCACCUCCUGCUGUGUGGCCUGAUCCUAACAGGCCAUAGACCAGUACCAGUCUAUGACCUGGGGGUUGGGAACCCCUGUCUUGGAGUACAGGUACCCAGCUGAGCUGUGGAAGAUUCUCAACACAGGGAAUGUGUAGAAUAAUGAAGAUUUAUUGUUUUAAGCCACUAAGUUUUGGAGUAAUUUGUUAUGCAGCAAUAGGUAACUAAUACACCAUCAAAUGCAUUUGCUCAGUCAGAUUGCAAGGCAGAAACUACUAGAGCUCCAGCUGCAACCCUGUUUUUCAGGAUAUAAAAGUAUAUAUAUUGUGGUAGACCAAAUAAUGAGCCUCCCAAAAUGUCCACGUUCCUAAUUUCCUGGAACAUAUUGUGAGUGUGUUACACUACAAGACAAAAGGGACUUUGCAGAUGUAAUUAAAGUUACAAACUUUAAAAUACAUUAUCUUAGAUGAGCUGAGUGGGUCCAAUCUAAUUACCUGAGCCCUUAAAAACAGAACUUUGGCUGGAGGCAGGAGAGAUUUGCCAGAAGUGGAAGUUGGAAAGAUUCAAAGUGUGAGAGGACCUCACUGUUGCUGGAAAAGGCAACGUGUAAAGCAUGAAAAUGAAGAUGGGCCGCCUCUAGGAGCUAAGACUCCACCCCAGUUGAUAGCCAGCAAGAAGACGGGGAUCUGGGCUCUGCAACUGUCAGGAACUGAACAACCUGAAAAACCCUGAAAGCAAUUCAGUGCUGGAGUCUCCAGAAAGGAAUGCAGCCCUGCUAACACCUUGAUUUUGGCCCUGUGAAAGCCAGGGAAGAAAAAUCAGUAGCGCCAACUGGGACUUCAGACCUACAGACGUCUAAGAUAAAUAAAUUUGUAUUAUUUUCAGUUCACUAAGU